UACGUAGGGUGCGAGCAUUAAUCGGAAUUACUGGGCGUAAAGCGUGCGCAGGCGGUUUGUUAAGUCCGUUGUGAAAGCCCCGAGCUCAACUUGGGAAUUGCAGUGGAUACUGGCAGGCUGGAGUACGGUAGAGGAAGGUGGAAUUCCCGGUGUAGCAGUGAAAUGCGUAGAUAUCGGGAGGAACACCAGUGGCGAAGGCGGCCUUCUGGACCAGUACUGACGCUCAUGCACGAAAGCGUGGGGAGCAAACAGG
rnacentral:rRNA from 1 species